GCUAGUAUAGUGUUGUGGUUUGCACACUGGACUAUGACUCUGGAGGCCAGGGUUCCAAUCCCCACUCAGCC